UACGUAGGUGGCAAGCGUUUGUCCGGAAUUAUUGGGCGUAAAGCGUGCGCAGGCGGCGCGUUAAGACAGGUGUGAAAGCCCCGAGCUUAACUUGGGAAUUGCGCUUGUGACUGGCGUGCUGGAGUGUGGCAGAGGGAGGUGGAAUUCCACGUGUAGCAGUGAAAUGCGUAGAGAUGUGGAGGAACACCGAUGGCGAAGGCAGCCUCCUGGGCCAGCACUGACGCUCAUGCACGAAAGCGUGGGGAGCAAACAGG
rnacentral:rRNA from 1 species